CAGGUUUCUGGAUUUUUUUGUUAAAUUUUGUACUCUGGUUAUCCGAAAUAUGGACUGUAAUUCCUUGAUCGUAUAUGUUUAGAGUGGACCGAAAGUGAAUUUGUUAUACUCAAAUCUACUAUUUGUGCUAUGUGAUUUGCAACAUAUAGGUCAGUGACAUUUCACUGGCGGAUUACGUUGGAGUUGCACCUUCCAAGCAUGCAACAUAUGUACCUCACACUGCUGGGAGAUACUCGGUCAAACGAUUCAGGAAAGCUCAGUGCCCUAUUGUGGAGAGGCUUACUAACUCACUCAUGAUGCACGGCAGAAACAACGGAAAGAAACUCAUGGCUGUCAGGAUUGUUAGGCACGCGAUGGAAAUUAUUCAUUUGCUAACUGAUCUGAACCCAAUCCAAGUUAUUGUUGAUGCCGUUGUUAACAGGUACGUGAACAUGAAUAUACGUAUAUCUUUCACAUAGUAACGACACAUGGUUGCUUGUAAUUUCUCAUAUUUGUGAAACCGUUUUUUUAAUUUUCAUGUUGUAUGUCUUCUUCGUGCCAAUCAGUGGUCCACGUGAAGAUGCAACUCGCAUUGGAUCUGCUGGAGUUGUUAGGCGUCAGGCUGUGGAUAUCUCACCUUUGAGACGUGUGAAUCAGGCUAUCUAUCUCCUCACAACCGGUGCUCGUGAGUCUGCUUUCAGGAACGUCAAAACUAUUGCAGAGUGUUUGGCUGAUGAACUUAUUAAUGCUGCCAAGGGUUCCUCUAACAGGUACCGAUGUCUUGUUCAAUAUGCACAUAUUUGCCUUGUACUUGUUAUUUACUCCCUAUUUACUCCCUCAACUCUUAUCUCUGCUGAUUUCAUUUCUUUCCCUUGAUUCAUUGGUUCCAUUUCUGAGUAUUGGCGGUCCUUUCUGUGCAGUUACGCAAUCAAGAAGAAGGAUGAGAUCGAAAGAGUUGCCAAGGCUAACCGUUAAGGAGCUGCCGGAAAUUUUGACGGAGCGAGGAGGGUUUUGUAUGCAUUUUGUUUAUUCACUCAUUACUUUGAGGUUGUCGGAUUUACCGUAGAGCAUGAGAAUUGUCAGUCCUUUGUUUUGUUACGGAAAUCUCAGUUAUUCUUGUUCUUGAGUUGAAUUUUGUUAGAAUUAUGUUACAUUUGAGUGGUAGAGUUUCAAAACCAAAUAACCCAAUGAAUUAGUCGUAUGAAAACUUGGGUAACCAAGUUGCAAAACCAACCCAGAAAUUUGACAAAACAAUAACAUAAUUACACAGAGACCCUCUAGGCAACUAGAACCAACAGGCAAGGAGCGAUCCCCAUAUCGCAGGAGCAACAGAAGAACGGCGCAAAAAGCUAACGCAUCCGCCACUAAGUUAGCUUUCGAUAAGUCAUGACAAAACGAUAUGCAUUAUAAUUUACUCGCCGACUUCUGCACACUAUGGAUAAUAGUGAGAAGCUGCCGAGUGACAAAGGAUCCACCACCGAAUAUAGCAUCGAUGAGGAUCUUAGAGUCUCCUUCCACCUGCCUCCGCUCGGACUCUUUAUCACUCACCAGUCUCCUUCCACCUUCCUCCGCUCGGACUCUCUUUCACUCACCAAAUCCUUUCGACUUAAAGAAUUAAAGAUUAAUGCUAGUUUAACCAUUUUUUUUUAUCAUAUUUGUAAACUAUGUUACGCAUCAUCAAUAAAAAAUUAGCAUAUGCCGGGAAGGAGAGAGGGAGAGAGGUUUUUUUUUUUUUUUUUUUUUUUUUUUUUAGUAUUGAAUAUAUGUUGGGAUCACAUGUGGAUGAGGCUUUUAAAAAAAUAGCAAAAUUUGAUUUGUGCGAAAUUAUAUUACUGCCUAUGAUUUUAUUUUGUGAUUGUCUUUUCACUUUCUUUUGGUUGACAAAGAGGGUUUUGUUGAGAGUAAUGUUAUUUUUACUUCUCACUCAUCCCUCACAAUUUUUUAUCAUCGAGUCGGAAUUGAAGAAGAUUGAUGGCAAAAAAUUAACAAGAGUUUGAGGAAGGUAAAAAUUAGUGUGUGAAUAUCACUAUCUUUUUGUUAAUAGGCAAUUUAGAUAAGCACGUUAAUUAACACUCAAGUAAUAAUUUAAUUAUCAACAAUUACGUCAUAUAAUUUAUAAAAUAUGAUUCAAAUAUAUGAUAGCAUAACUCAAAAUAAAAAAUUGGAAAUUCAUAAAAUAUUUGAGUAAAUUUAUUUAAACAUUGGGUUUCAAACUUUCAAUAUAGGCACUUUAAAAAAUAUAAAUAAAUAAAUAAAUUAGGCCAAAUUUUACUUUUGUUUCAUGCGGUUCUGUUGUAUAAAUUUUAGUCCCCGUAGUUUUGCAAAACCAUUUAAUUCAAGGAGCAUGUAUCACUCACAUACAUGAGCAUUUUAGUAAUUUCAGAACAAAUGACCGUAAAUUAGACCCGAAUCGAAACCCCAACUCGAGUCCGGAAACCGAAACCCGAAUCCCGAAACCCAAAACCCUAGCCGAUUAAAAUACCCUCUACCUCUCGCCCUGCGCCAUUUCCUUCAGCGAUUCAGCAACCCCUCCGCGGCGCCGUCGUCUUGUGUUCCUCAACCUCUCCCUCUCGUCGAAAAAUCCAACCUCCGGGUCAGUCUUCUUCUCUCUCACUACCUCCGCCGCUUCCCGUCGUUGGUGACGUAACUUUCGCAUAACAUCUGCUACUUACUGUGAAACUGGAUUCAAUUAUAAUUAAGCUAUUCCGUUAAUUAGAAUUAGGUUUGAAAUUUUAGAUCACAAUUUUUGGGUACGAAGGUGAUUAAGUUAGUGAAUUGCAAAUUUAUAUCCUUUUUCCCCUUUUGUUUUUGUUGGCAUUUUAAUUUAAAUCAUUUAAAUUACUUGAUUUGUAGAAACAUAUGGGUUAGGGUUCCAUAAUUUGUUUUUAAUUCGUUCAAUAUUGGGAGCAUUUGAGGCAGGCACUGUCAAAUACUGAUAAUUUUUGAGAAGUUUGAUUGUCAGAAUUAUACUUUGCAGCUUUGUUUUACCGGAAGCUAUUACCAAAUAUGCUCUAAUGUUUGUAGCUUCAAUUGUGUUUAUACAGAACCAUGGCUGCUGAUGCUGUAGCUCUUCCUGUAGCCGAACCAACGCUGGCUCACUAUGACGUGAAGCUGUUCAACAAGUGGAGCUUUGAUGAUGUCCAGGUUUCUGGAUUUUAUUAUUCGACUUAGUUAAUUAUAAUUUUUCUCAUAUCUGUGAUGAUUUUCGAUGAAAUGAGGUUUUCUUCGACGUGUAGGUUUACGGAUAUGAUGGGGUUUAAUGUGGGUAGGCUUGAGCUAUCAGAUUUUGUUUGAGAGUAUACUGAUGUGAUGGUUGGAUAACAACGGAGGCAACUUUUAUGUUCGUUUCUUUGUUGGGUAGUUGACAUGACGGAUUUGUGCCAUAAACUCAAUAUAUGUAUUGGAUUUACUCUUUUAAAUGUUUAGAAUUCUGUGUGACCUCCUUGUGGCGUAUUGUGUUAGAUUCACUGUAGGCCAACUUGUGUUCAUUUCCUUGUUGAGUAGUUGUCUGUAACAUGACUGAUUUGUGCCUCAACUUCAAUAUACCUAUUAGAUAUGCUCUGCUAAAUGUUUAGAAAUUUGUGUGUCCUCCUUGUGGCCGUCUUUUGUGAGAUUUACUGUAUGUCUACAAAGUAGGCUAAAGUUUAUUGUUAGUAUUAUUAUUGUUUAUUGCACUCAUUUGUUGACGUGUAUUUUGUGUUGUCCUGAUUAUGCUGAGUCUGUUUUUACUGUGAUUUCAAAUUUAUACUGGUAAAUUCAGCAUUUAUGUAAAGUCAGCUAUUAAGUGAUUCUAUUGGUUGAUUGGCAUUUACACCUCAGUUUUUUUUCGGUUUAGACGUUGAAAAUUAUGUGUUGACAAAAACUUGUUAAUUUUGUCUUCUUGCAUCUUCUAAUGUAUGGACUGUUUCCCAUAUGUUUGUGAAAUGAUAAUGUACAAUUUUAACAUGUAGGUCAGUGACAUUUCACUGGCGGAUUACAUUGGAGUUGCACCUUCCAAGCAUGCAACUUAUGUACCUCACACUGCUGGGAGAUACUCGGUCAAACGAUUCAGGAAAGCUCAGUGCCCUAUUGUGGAGAGGCUUACAAACUCACUCAUGAUGCACGGCAGAAACAAUGGAAAGAAACUCAUGGCUGUCAGGAUUGUUAGGCACGCGAUGGAAAUUAUCCAUUUGCUAACUGAUCUGAACCCAAUCCAAGUUAUUGUUGAUGCUGUCGUUAACAGGUACAUUCACAUAUAUGUUAAAAUCUUUCUCACAGCAAUCAUAUGCGUUGACCUCUGCUUCGUCACAUGUUUGAUGCUUGAGGGGAUGCUCAUGUGCCCUUUAGUAUUCAUUUCCUGAUUACAUGUUGAUUUUUAUACCUGUUGGGAUUACGAUGGUUAUAAACAUUCUUCUUCGUGCAAUUCCGUAUGGUUAUAUGUAACUUGUUUUUUUUUUUUCC
rnacentral:lncRNA from 1 species